rnacentral:pre_miRNA from 1 species
UUCCCUUUGUCAUCCUAUGCCUGGGAAACUCUUGGAGGCUGGGACGCUGAAGGGAAGG